rnacentral:pre_miRNA from 12 species
GGUGCUGGAAGAGAGGACACCCUUUGUAUGCUCUCUCUAUUAAUGGCGAAUACACAGGGGAGACUCUAUUUGCAUAUC